UUUCGGAAGGUCCUUAGCAAUCCGCCCCUUCGGGGAGCGGGUUGCUGGCCUCCUAUGUUCCUAACGGCCCUCAUCCGCGAGGGUGGGGAAUCAACCGCUAGGAUCGUUUACUUUGAGGAAAUUAGAGUGUUCAAAGCAGGCGUAACUCGCCUCCGAAUACGUUAGCAUGGGAUAAUGGAAUACGACUUCGGUCUUGUUUCGUUGGUUUCGCUUGGCUGAAGUAAUGAUUGAUAGGGACAGUUGGGGGCAUUAGUAUUUAGUUGUCAGAGGUGAAAUUCUAGGAUUUACUAAAGACUGACCAAUGCGAAAGCAUUUGCCAAGGAUGUUUUCAUUAAUCAAGAACGAAAGUAGGGGGAUCGAAGACGAUCAGAUACCGUCGUAGUCUCUACCGUAAACUAUGCCGACCAGGGAUCCGGAGAGUUUGCAUGGAUGACUCCCCGGGCACCUUGUGAGAAAUCAUAAGUGUUUGGGUUUUGGGGGGAGUAUGGUCGCAAGGCUGAAACUUAAAGGAAUUGACGGAAGGGCACCACCAGGAGUGGAACCUGCGGCUUAAUUUGACUCAACACGGGGAAACUUACGAGGUCAGGACACUGUGAGGAUUGACAGAUUGAAAGCUCUUUCUU
rnacentral:rRNA from 1 species